GGGUCAGUAGGUUGGUCGUGCCACCGGUACGUACUGGUCUCACUGAUUCCUCCUUCCUGAAGAACCGUAAUGCCAUUAAUUUGGUGUUGCGGGGAAACAGGACUGUUACUUUGAAAAAACUAGAGUGUUUAAAGCAAGCUGACGCUUGAAUACAUUAGCAUGGAAUAAUGAAAUAGGACGAUCGAUCCUAUUUUGUUGGUUUCUAGGAUUGACGUA
rnacentral:rRNA from 1 species